GCUCUUCAAAUUGAUGUUUACAUCCUUUGAGAAUGGGACAGGGCUCCUACUUGCUAGAAAGCUGCUUAAGUUUGGAUUUGGGGUUCAAGUAGAAGAAACGUUCACUUAUUUGAGGAUAUUCUGUGAAAACUGACAACAUAGUCACAUACCAUCUCAAUUCAUAAUACUACUGACUUAAAUAUUUUUCUUGGCUCACAGGAUGACUCAAGUAUCCAGAUUUAAAUGGAUGGAAAGAGAGGAAUAUGGGAAGAAACAAAAAAAGUGGAGGAAGAGGGCUGGACUUGUGUUCUGAAAAAGAAAAUUUGCUCCACCCUACUUCGUGAUCUUGUGGAAUAUUUCUAAACAGCCUGACCACCAGCACAUCUGUCC
rnacentral:lncRNA from 1 species